GCGGCUGUGGCGGAAUUGGUAGACGCGCAAGGUUGAGGGCCUUGUGUCCCUCGGGACGUGGAGGUUCAAGUCCUCUCAGCCGCA
rnacentral:tRNA from 1 species